rnacentral:misc_RNA from 1 species
GAUGAAGAACGCAGCGAAAUGCGAUAAGUAAUGUGAAUUACAGAAUUCAGUGAAUCAUCGAAUCUUUGAACGCACAUUGCGCCCGCCAGCACUCUGGCGGGCAUGCCUGUCCGAGCGUCAUUUCGACCCUCGCGCCGUCCCUCCAGGGGGCUCGGCGCGGUGUUGGGGGACACGGCCCCGGCCGCCCCCGAAAUGCAGUGGCGACCCCGCCGCGGCCCCUCCAGCGCAGUAAGCACGCUCGCUACGGGAGGCCCGGUGGACGCGUCCGCCGUAAAACGCCCAACUCUUCAGAAGUUGACCUCGGAUCAGGUAGGGAUACCCGCUGAACUUAAGCAUAUCAAUAAGCGGAGGA